rnacentral:rRNA from 1 species
UACGAAGGGGGCGAGCGUUGUUCGGAAUUACUGGGCGUAAAGCGUGCGCAGGCGGUUCUAUAAGACAGAUGUGAAAUCCCCGGGCUCAACCUGGGAACUGCAUUUGUGACUGUAGAGCUGGAGUGCGGCAGAGGGGGAUGGAAUUCCGCGUGUAGCAGUGAAAUGCGUAGAUAUGCGGAGGAACACCGAUGGCGAAGGCAAUCCCCUGGGCCUGCACUGACGCUCAUGCACGAAAGCGUGGGGAGCAAACAGG